rnacentral:rRNA from 1 species
CAGUAGCCGCGGUAAUACGAAGGGUGCAAGCGUUACUCGGAAUUACUGGGCGUAAAGCGUGCGUAGGUGGUGGUUUAAGUCCGUUGUGAAAGCCCUGGGCUCAACCUGGGAAUUGCAGUGGAUACUGGGUCACUAGAGUGUGGUAGAGGAUAGUGGAAUUUCCGGUGUAGCAGUGAAAUGCGUAGAGAUCGGAAGGAAUAUCUGUGGCGAAGGCGACUAUCUGGGCCAACACUGACACUGAGGCACGAAAGCGUGGGGAGCAAACAGGAUUAGAGACCCGCGUAGUCCCUGUCUCUUAUAC